GGCCAGACUCCUACGGGAGGCAGCAGUGGGGGAUAUUGGACAAUGGGGGAAACCCUGAUCCAGCGACGCCGCGUGAGUGAAGAAGUAUUUCGGUAUGUAAAGCUCUGUCAGCAGGGAAGAAAGAAAUGACGGUACCUGACCAAGAAGCCCCGGCUAACUACGUGCCAGCAGCCGCGGUAAUACGUAGGGGGCAAGCGUUAUCCGGAAUUACUGGGUGUAAAGGGAGCGUAGACGGUGAUGCAAGUCUGGAGUGAAAGGCGGGGGCCCAACCCCCGGACUGCUCUGGAAACUACCGGACUGGAGUGUCGGAGGGGUAAGUGGAAUUCCUAGUGUAGCGGUGAAAUGCGUAGAUAUUAGGAGGAACACCAGUGGCGAAGGCGGCUUACUGGACGAUCACUGACGCUGAGGCUCGAAAGUGUGGGGAGCAAACAGGAUUAGAUACCCUUGUA
rnacentral:rRNA from 1 species